GUUGAGCGCGAAGCGUGUGGCGGUGCGCAUGGUGUCCGGGUGGUUGAUGAGGCCCUGGUCCGACUUGAACAGCCCCUGCUUGGCGAUGAGGUCGAAGUAGUACUUGUUGUCGAAGGCGUCGGGCGUGCGCACGUCCAGCACCUGGGUGACCACGUUCCCGCUGGGGUCGCUGGCGCACUUGGCCGCCAGCUUCCGCCGGAACGCCGGGUCCAUGGUGUCGUCGUCCGCGUUCGGCGGCAGACGGUCGCUGAAGGAGGAGCAGUGGCCGCGGCCCACGGUGUGCGCGCCGGAGAGAGCCACCAGGUCCGCCUUGUUCAGGCCGCGGUUCUCGAACGCCGAGAUCAGCGUCGGAACGUCGAAGAAGGGCGCCGGCAGGGUGCCCACCAGGUCGCUCGACGCCGGCGCCAGACCGUCGCGACGCCCCAGAGGAACGUCGAAGAAGGGGCCGCCGGACUGGAUGGAUGGAGUAGGCGUCGAUAUACAGCAAGGUAUCCAACGUACAUAUAUACUCUCAGAUAUAUAGUAGCUAGGGUGAUGAACGGCCGGCCGGCGAUGGACUUACCGCGACGACGGCGUCCCGGGUAGCUAGCGUGGUGAUGUCGGCGCAGGACACGGUUGGCCCACAGGUGGCGUGGACGUCGGCGCGGAUGUCGUCGAUGAGUUUCAGCGCCGCGGGACGCAGCGUCUGGUUGGGUAUCUCAAUCUGCUCGCUCUUGGGACCCGACAGGAGCACGGACGCGUCGCAGCCCUGAUCGAUGCAUGAUGGGUGAUCGAUGGUACUACGUUUUAUUAUUCACAGUUUCGUUCAUGGAUUAUAUAUUGUUAUAUGCUUGUGAACUGUGUGUGUGUGUGUGUGUGUGUUGGUCGGUCUUAAUUAAUUGGUCAUCGUCAGCAUCAACAACGUUUUAACGUAGCUCCAGGGCGGAUCGAUCGUUACCUGCGGGAAGCAGUCGUGGAAGAAGAUGCGGAUGAGCCCGGCGGCGAUGCCGAUGUCGCGGCGGAGUGCCUCGGUGACGUGCCAGCUCACGAUGUCCUCCACGUACGGGCAGGACGCGUCGUAGAACCUCCAGGAGAGGCCGUUUGCGAUAUCGGGUUCGUUCACGGUCACCGUGGCCGACGAGAGGGCGGCGCCGCAGACCGCUGAGAUGGCCACCAGCAGCUGCACGGCGGCCACUGAUCUGCUGCAGCUGCAGCGGGACGACCUGCCCAUUCUGCUUGCCAGGUGCAGCUAGCAAGCACGACGAUGUGUGGUGUGUGGCUUGCACAGGUCAACAGAAGGUGUAGUGCGUUAUUUAUAGGCGCGGUUAUGAAUGCAUAUGCAGCCCCAUAUAUUAUUCUCUAAUCCUCUCAUCGGUCUGAUCCACUAGCUGCAACUUGUUCCAUUUCAUUUGCAUUGCAUCAUCAUCAUAGAGUAAAGCAGCAAGGAAUAAUUAGCAUGGAUCAAGUGAAUGGUUGUAGGAGGUAAAAGUAUUUUUAUGUCGCAUCGCAUGCGUUUUAAAUUAAAUCCUAGUAACAUUUUUAUUAUAGACACAAUAAGUCUUCUGCCGCCAUAUAUAUAUCAUAUAUAUAGAUAUGCAUGCAACUUCGUUGCAGCUUCGUUCCACAUACACUGCACACCCACCUACUACUCACUGUUAUACUAAAUACUAGUGUCAUCUAUCCCUGAGUUGCUCACUCAAGCUGACCAUUUUUCUUGCAUGCAUUGCAUUGGUUCCUUUUGUCAGCGCGUCUGUUGGUUUGAAUAUAUAUAUGGCACCUGCUCAUCGAUCAUAUUCCACGGACCAAGAUAGAUAGGUUAGACUAACAAGAGCGAGCCAACAAGUGGUACAAGAUGAUGCAUUUCUCUAACGACAUCUUUGAAUACUAUACAUGUUAAUAGGAAUGUCUAGUGUAAGUGUACACUCCGCAGGUUGGAAAGCUAGCUAGCUGCCUGCCACCUUUUUCUUUUGAUUUGGAAAAUGCAUGACAGUUUACAACGUCGUAAGUUAAUGAUCCGUUGUUAGCUAGGAAAAUGACAUUCGGAUGGGAUGAUAGGGAUGAGACCUGCCACUUGCAUUUGCUAUUUUGCCACGGGCUAUUCUCAUUCUAUCCCAGCAUAAUCUUGACCAGCAUCAGGUCAGCCAGGGAGGCAGCAUGGGUUCACCCUCUCCAAAAGUCAAGCCAUUCCCUCACAAAUUUGAUCCACAGGGACCUCGACCAUGUUCAGCAACCUACAAGUACAAGCGGUGUAUAUAUACCUAAUAAUUAAGGGCAUGUUUGAGCUAAUAGCCAAACAGGUCAACACAGGUCCCCGAGAUGCCGCUCCGUGCACGAAGCCCGCGUCCCCGCUGUCUAGAGUGGCAGACGAGAGGACCCGAAUAAGCGGGAACUCAAAUUUAUCAACCAUAAAAAUCAUGGGCAUAUUGAGGCCUUGUUUAGUUCGCAAAAUUUUUUGUUUUUGGCUAUUGUAGCAUUUCGUUUUUAUUUGACAAACAUUGUCCAAUCACGGAGUAACUAGACUCAAAAGAUUUAUCUCACAAAUUACAGGUAAACUGUACAGUUAGUUUUAAUUUUUGUCUAUAUUUAAUGCUCCAUGCAUGCGACUAAAGAUUCGAUAUUUACGAGGAAUUUUAAAAAAUUUUGCGAACUAAACAAGGCCUGAAAUUGUCUAUGACACCACAUAGCAACAAAUUAUGAUAAAAUUACAACAGAUCAUGCUACCUAGCUAGUGCCAUGAAGCGCCCAGAAGUGCUCCACCAGAUCAUCGAUCUCGAAGUAAUCAUUGGUGGAGAAGCCUAAACUGCUAGAAAAAUGCAAGCAAGAGUUUUUGAGGGGUAGAGCAAAAGCAAAAACACCGGGUCUGCAAAAGUCCUAAAUUGAAAAGCAAGGUGAGGCCAAGCUUUGAAGAGUUAUUAGCCAAAUAUAUACAAAGAAGAAAGGGGCUAAUCAAAAGGAAAAGAAUUUUCCACGGGAGAAUGAUUUGAAAUCAUUGACAACACACAUAAGGAAGAACUAAAGCCAUCAGUCAUGCAUAAUGUAAUCAAGCCACUGUAACGCAUCCCAUUCUAUUUCCGUGCCGACUUGGUUAUAUCCUUUAUUUGCACUUACUACUAACCUUGCUUGGGUAUGCAUAGGCAGUCAUAAUUCAAUAUUUAGUGUAAUGCGUAUUGCAUAUUCAAAGUAUAUAUAAUUAUCAUCACCAUGGCCAAUUGCUGUUAACAAUAAUUUGGUCGGUCGUCAUAAAGAAAGUGAGAAGGGCAGCGAAGAAGUGUCCCUCUGGAUUAUCUGAGACACAAAAGAGGGAGACCCAACAGUGGACGCGCCAGAUCAAUGAAUGAAACAAUAAGCGUAAGUGAUUCGAUCCAGCAUAUAGCUAGCAGCAGUUGGAGCCGGCAUAACAACAGUUACGGAACUUAUUAUCCGAAUCCGAUCCCGCCCGUUUCCGUUAUUGCGGAAAAAUCCAGAAAUGCAUCGUACGUCGACACUAGCGUGCCACCGGCCGGACUUCCUGGUUCCUGCUCGUCGCGGUGACCGUGAGUCGAUCAGGCGGGCGGACCGGCCACCGCCCACGCUGUGCUGCACAGUUGCAGGUGCUGUACGUUAGUUGCUUCGUCCUCCAUGAGACACAGUUGUAAUCGAUCGCCAUUUUUAGGGCAAGAAAAGGCAAAAAGGAUAUAUACACAGAUAAAAGAUGGAUCUUGCUUCUACUCUGAUCUCGAUCGUCACCCAUGCAUUUGGCCAUUUAUUAUAACAAAUUCGUAAGCUAACACGUACGACGAUACAGAGGAUGCAAAUGCAUGCAUGCGCUAGCAAGGCCAGUGACACACACACGUACGCACGGCCGGCCGCGAUGAGAUGAUCGAUGCCUCUUUAAUUUUGUAAUCACGCGUCGGCCGCGAGCCCCUCGUCGCUGUGGCCUGCAGAUGCGAAGAAGGCGGCCUGGUUCAGCGCGUAGCGCGUGGCGGUGCGGUUGUUUACGUGUUGCCGUCGCUCAUGAGGCCCUGGUCCGACUUGAACAGCCCCUGCUUCGCGAUCAGGUCCAAGCAGUACGUACUUGUUGUCCAAGGCGUCGGGCGUGCGCACGUCCAGCACCUGCGCCGCGUUCCAGACUGCAUGCAAGGGCAUUAUUGCUUUUUUGUCGUCAGCAUGCAGCAGCUGCAUUGUACGUGGACGUGGUCCGGCGAUGGACGGACUUACGUACCGC
rnacentral:lncRNA from 1 species